UUAUUGAUAUAACAGAGUUUCCUUUACACGCAUAUAUGAGUAUUUCUUAUGUGAAUAUAUUUCUUAUGUGAAUAUCUACUAAACAUCUGUGUCGUUAAAAAAAAGUUAAAGAAAUUCGUUACACACUAUCUCGAGAAGUUUCAUAAAGCACGUGUCACGUCGGUGAAUAAAUUAUGCCGUUUUCGCGAUAUUGAACGAGAAGAAAACCUGUUCUGCCGCGCCUUCCCAUCAUCUCGCUACUUGACCAUCUCGCGUUCUCACGCUAAGUCUGGACCAAUGAUGAUCUCCUGCAUGUGCUCUCAGUGCAGAAGAAACCAGAUCCCGUAAAGAGGGGUGGCAGGUUCUCGAAAUCUAAAGACCGAAAUUCUGCAUCGUAAAUACAAGCGUGCGGUAAGGAGCGAGCUGGUUCCGCGUAUUUCAAGAGACGAAAAUCUAGGUCUGUCGGUCAGUAUCGGGGAUGCUGCGGUCCACGCAGCAUCCCUACUGCUCGUAAAGAAGUUUUUCUGUCGAUUCUCAUCAAGUCGGAACGACCCAUCGCACAGCAACUUCAUCAUCAUCAUCAUCAUCAUCAUCAUUAUCAUCAUCAUCGUCGUCGUCAUCAUCAUCAUCAUCAUCAUCGUCAUCAUCAUCAUGCAAUUUCUCCAGAUAUCCAGCGGCGGUCAUUCACAACUUGGCAACUCCUCCAAUCAUGCUAAAAUAUGCAACUUGAUACACUAACAGAAAACUCUCAUCGCUGGAACACAUAAUUUUUUCAUCACUGGUUCCUUCUGAACGCGGCAUAACGCGACUGGAGAACAGAGGAGGCCGGAUAAUAGCGGCGGGAGGAACCGGAAAGCAUAAACCCACGCAAAAGUGGAGGCCACUUCAAGCGUUUUCUCUGCGGCGGUUUCUCGCGACCCUUCCGAAAAUUAUCCAGAACGACCUCGUAGCCGCCGCGGCCUUACCGCCAAAGAAAUAACUCGGCUCGGGCGGGAAAAAAAUGUUUUCGCAACAAUGAGACGUGGGUCCCGCAAAUGUAUACUUUCGUCGGUAAACCGUGAAAAUGGGCUUGCGAAAUUAGAUUGCUUGUCUGUUUGCGGAAAAGAAUAAAAGAUCUUUCGACAAUGUUUGUCGGUAAAAUAAGAUGGCAGCGCGUCACGAUGAAAAAGAUAUAACCCAUGAACCAAAGAAGAGUAAAUUGAAGUAAAAAUCUAAAUUAAGAAUAUCUAAACUAAUUCAUUUCACAUCUUUUCAAGAACUUAACAACAGAAAACUUUCCAUAGAUAUACUUAUUUUUAAUCUGAUUAAAUUUUGAUGAAACAUGUAUACAAAAUUGUCUGUGAAAAUAUUGUAGAGAUACAAAAAACACACUCUUGUACAAAUAUAAUUUUCGAAUGUUAUUAAAUUUGAUGAAAUUUGGAUUUUUAAUCCAUCGCAGAAAGAUGUAAAAAAUACGUCACACAAUAUUAUUCUUACGAAACAAAUAAUAUUCUUUUUACAAGAGAUACAUCUAUUAAUAGCAACUUUAAAAUUAAAAAAAGAUAUUUUAAUUUCCAUCUUUUUUCAAUGUGUAAUACCUGCAGUAAUUAUUACGAUCAAAAUACUUUUAGUGUCUUAACUAUAUUAUUCAAACAUGUUCAGCAAGGGGAAAAAUUUUUUGCUGGCGGAGAAACUUUUAACUUAAUUUCCUUACCAGCUUUUAUCUCUCUUGCAGUGGAAAACUUUAAUGAGCGCAACAAGAAUGUGGACUAAAAGAAACUUUCAUUAUCUUAAAAUAAUCACAUAUGCAUACUACAAAAAAAAAAGUCAAAUUAGAGCGCUUCCACUUAUUUUGAAAUUUUCGAUUCUUAUUCUCAUUGGCCGCUUGCUUUCGUUAUUAAUUUAUUUAUGAAUCAUCACUUCGAUAGACUCUCCAAGAUACAAAAUUUUUUCCCAUGUUUUUUAUAAAAUUUCGUUAUGUAUUUCACAAUUACUGGUCUUCGAGAAAAUUGAUUAAAUUCACCAAAAUCAAUGAACAAAACAAUUAUUAAAAAUUAAUUCACUAUGCAAUGAUAAUGGACCGUGACCACGUCUUGAAACAAUGAAAACAAAUUGGAACCACUCCAUUUUCUAAGUGUGCAUCACGCCAUUAAACAAGUUAUGGGUCUGCAACUUAAAGCACUGCCACGCCCCUAUGCAACGACCUUAACUUUCGGCAUUAUACCUACAUGAAUUCUUUAAAUCCCUUGUCGCCUUUACCUUUUCCCAACCCUUCGCGUCCAGAAUUGACUAAAGUUCAAACUCGUUCAAUGGACAGAACUUUUUCCGUUUCGAAAACUCGCUUGUGUACAGUCAGUGAAGAAAAACAUAUAAAAUCUGUCUAACACAAAAAAAACAUAGUUCUUGUAUUAAAGUGUGUCAUUAUUGCAUGCAAGUUUUUGCAAGUAUUGCGCAGAUUGAAAAUUAGCUUUUAUAUAAUUUUAUCAGAUUGUCAGGACUAUAUGAAAUUAAACAUAGGAGAGUUACGAUACAGUAAAUCUACAGUAAUCCCUGAAUUAAAAUACGUAUAUUAUACGUAUAUAUUAUACGUAUAUAUUACAAAUUAGUAUUAUCGCUUACAUAACAACUUGAAUUAUUCACUUCACCGUAAAAUGACGGAAAUCUCCCAUGCGAUGCAAUUUAAUCGUCUGUGUAUACACUGUGCUCGCUUGUUUUAACUUCAAUUAAACUAAAGUUUUAAAAUUGCAAUAUCGAGCUAUCACAAAAAAAAAAGAUUCGAAAGAUAUGCUUUCAACAACAACCGAAUAUCUUGGUAACAUGUUAUCCAUUAAGAAAACUUAAUUAUGUCGUUUAUUAAAUCAAAUUAAAAUUGUCCGAUGCAUUUUUACGCCGGAAUCUGUAUGCUAAUAAAACCUACAAGACGCAUACGUUUAGAGCUCAGGCUGAAAAGAAGCCGUUGAAAACGAGACCCCGUUUGUCUAUAUUCCGAAAACGAGCAGCUGAAAAAUAACCCGGGAAGCACCCCGAGCGACGCGUUAAAAUAUAAGCCAGACUCUUGUGUUAAUCGCGUAUCUCAAAAUUCUCUCCGAAUCAACAUGCAUAUAUUCAAAUUAACGCGAGCCGUGUAAGUGAGCGCGCGAAGGACUCGGAGCCUUAAUCUGUUUUAGCGGGGGCGUCAGUAAAAAACCGGCAGACGGCAGAGGGCAGAGGGCAGAGAGGGAGUCGCGCGCUUUUUCCAAGACGGGAGGAAGAAACGGCCUCGGGUUCCCAAUUAGCGUUCUUACCCCGUCUCGACGGCCACGGGGCAAACGCCGGGCUUCAGGACGGCGACGGGAUGCAAGAGAGCGAGAUAAACCGCGCGAUAAAACGGUACACGCUCGCAUCACACCCACCCCCUCGCGCGCCCGACUCUCCACCCCCGUCUCUCCUUCCCUUUUCCUUCUUUUUUACUCAUUCUAGCUUCACGCGCGCGUACGCCACCGGCGGAAAGGCGGUAAGGUAGAAACGGCCAAGAAGAGUUCAUAUCCCGCGUCGCAUCCCGCCGACUUAGGUGACUCUCAGAGAUUUAACAUGUAAAUAAUACAGUGGACGGGAGUUCAAAUAUUUUACGGACUUACGCAUCGCGAAAGAUCCCGGUAACGAAAAUAUCUAGCUCUAGUGAAAAAAAACUUGAUUAAAAAUCAUACAUUCCUCGACUGCUUCCUUCUUACCAAAUUACCUUUUUCGGAGCGAUAAAUAUUCCAGAGACUCGUUAUACUUCUUUUCAUUCAGAAAUGUCUUAGACCAUUCAGAAUUAAAUUUCCUUGAAAGUAUUAAAGUUUCAAUACUUUAACUAGAAACUAUUUAAAAUCUAAAAAUUUUUACAAAAUACUUCGGAUCUAUAAAUAGACUACUAAAAAUCAUAUUCUUUGUUCGAUUUUUCAGACAGAUAUUACUUUAUAUAUUCGAAAUUUUCACAAAAAAGAAUUCGAAAACUAUAUCAAGUUAAAAUAUGAAAAAAAUUUAUAGUCUAUGAAAUAUAAAAUUUAAAAUUCAAAUUUUAUGUAAAAUUUAUAUCAUAAAUACGCAUAUUCAUUAACGUAAUGUUACAAGUUCUGAUGUUUAACUAAAAA
rnacentral:lncRNA from 1 species